rnacentral:rRNA from 1 species
UACGGGGGGGGGGCAAGCGUUGUUCGGAAUUACUGGGCGUAAAGGGCGCGUAGGCGGCCUGCUAAGUCGGACGUGAAAUCCCUCGGCUCAACCCUGGGAACUGCGUCUGAUACUGGAUGGCUUGAAUCCGGGAGAGGGAUGCAGAAUUCCAGGUGUAGCGGUGAAAUGCGUAGAUAUCUGGAGGAAUACCGGUGGCGAAGGCGGCAUCCUGGACCGGCAUUGACGCUGAGGAGCGAAAGCCAGGGGGAGCAAACGGG